UGCAUAUCAAUAAGCGGAGGAAAAGAAACCAACAGGGAUUGCCUCAGUAGCGGCGAGUGAAGCGGCAAUAGCUCAAAUUUGAAAUCUGGCGCCUUCGGUGUCCGAGUUGUAAUUUGAAGAAGGUAUCUUUGGUUUUGGCUCUUGUCUAUGUUUCUUGGAACAGGACGUCAUAGAGGGUGAGAAUCCCGUCUGAUGAGAAGCCCAAUUCCGUGUAAAGUUCCUUCGACGAGUCGAGUUGUUUGGGAAUGCAGCUCUAAGUGGGUGGUAAAUUCCAUCUAAAGCUAAAUAUUGGCGAGAGACCGAUAGCGAACAAGUACUGUGAAGGAAAGAUGAAAAGAACUUUGAAAAGAGAGUGAAAAAGUACGUGAAAUUGUUGAAAGGGAAGGGUUUGAGGUCAGACUUGGUUUACCAGGCCAGCAUCGGUUUAGAUGGCAGGAUAAUGGCGGAGGAAUGUGGCUUGGCUUCGGUUAAGUGUUAUAGCCUUCGUUGAUACUGCCUAUUUAGACCGAGGACUGCGUCUUUGACAAGGAUGCUGGCAUAAUGGCCUUAAGCCACCCGUCUUGAAACACGGACCA
rnacentral:rRNA from 1 species